AAAGCCUUAGCUUAAAUUAAAGCGUCUGAGUUGCAGUUAGAUGAUGCAGGUAAAAGAUUUGCAGGUUUU
rnacentral:tRNA from 1 species